CUUUGCAGCCUACAAACAACAGUGACUAGAAGAGAAAGUUCUGAGUAACUGACAAGGAAGGAGGGGGGAGGUUGAGCGGAAGCAGGAUUUCUGCAUCAAAUCAAUGGAUGCAACAUUUCUUCUCUGCUGAUGGAUUUCCCUGCCCAUAUCCCAGGUGCCUGACAGAGCUGAGGAUCCCUGGACUCAGUGUUCCUGGUUUGCUGCCUGGGAGGAGGGGCCAAGGAACGGAGCCUCUCGCUGAGUGCACGGAACAGGGCAAGGCAUCCUCAGGAAAGGUGAGAGGGUUGCAUGUUUCCGCAUUGGGUUACUUUACUGCUGAGUGACCUCUGGGAGGGGCCUGGCCAUCAAAGAGCACAGUGGGAGCUGCAGGCUGCGGGUAGCCCAGGGUAUCUGGCCUUAAAUUUCGAGUUCCAGUGAAACUGAACCCUCUUUCCUGGCAGGCCCUUGUCCCCUGGUCUGCGGCCCCAACUGUCCAGAUGGCAGCACUGCCUGGGACGCCAGGCUGAGCUCAGUAUAAUGCUCAGCUGCAUGUGGGCACAGUGUGGGGGAGUUCCCUUACUGCUGCAUGGAAAAGAGGGGCUCCCUUUGCUUUGGCAGCUGGACUCCAGUCUUGGAGCAGGUUAAUCUCUCAGAGCCCCAGGUUAAUCUGUACCCAUCUCUUGCCUUUGAAGUGUUAACGAGGUGUGAUCUAGGCUGGAAGCAGGCAUCAUUAAGACGGCCCCUCAUUCAUGUGGAAAGGUCUCUGCUGUGACCUGCUGCUUCUGAAGCCAGGACUGGGUGCUAACAAGGGGCAGGUCCUCAAGCAGAUAAGAGCUGGUCUGCCAGGCCAGGGACACACUAGCAGCAAGAGCAGGAGGACUCUGUCUCCACAAGGUGACUAGCCUGGGAGUAGCAAGGACUGAGCUUGAGGAUGUGUCACUCUGCCUGUAUUUCUGCUCUAAGCGCAUCCCAGCAAGGGCUGAGUUGGAGCCCCAGAUGCUGCUACAAAACGCUGCAAACACUGAGGGCCCAGCCAGCCACAGGGAGAUACAGCCUUUCAUCUCCUGGAGUUACAGGUGACAAGGAAGAAUGGCAGGAGGUCAGCAAAGCCUAGAAGAAGGCACCCCACAUCUGCCAGUUCCUGCUGCCAGGGCCAGCCCUGAACAUGCGCUAGGUGGGCACUACAGCCCCCUACGGCUUCACUCGGGGUGCCCCAGUCCCAAGCAAGCUCUGCUAGUCACAAGGCAGCUUCAUCUUCCUAGGAGGAAAAGGAAGAAGCCUGCAGCAGACACCCCCACAGGCAAUCGGAGCAGAAUCCCCUCCAGCAGACUGGACCUCACAAAGCUCAGGGCUGUCCAAGUUUACAGUUACACUGCACAGGUGAGCAGUACUGACCUACAAACAACAAGUGACUAGAAGAGAAAGUUCUGAGUAACUGAAAAGGGAGGAACAGGGAGGUUGAAUGGAAGCAGGAUUUCUGCAUCAAAUCAGUGGAUUCAACAUGACUUCUCCACUGAUGGACUUCCCUGCCCAUAUCCCAGGUGCCUGCCAGAGCAGAGGAUCCCUGGACUCAGCGUUCCCAGUACUGUACAGGACUCUGGCAUGAGCGCUGGCUCUGGAAGAGAAACUGAAAGAUUUAAUCAGAGGUAAGGGCAGGCUCUGCUGGCUCCAAACAAAGGAAAUAGCUGAAAACCACCAAAGAGUGAGUGAGCAGGACUGAUGCAUGACAAUGGCUCUGGGAAUCCUUGAAUGCUGCGAUUCAAAGAUGUCCUGAAUGGAAGACUCGUGCUGAGCUGUAAAAGGCAAAACAAGAGGCCUGGUUUUCAAAGGAACGGAAGGAACCUCAGGAUUCUGCCCCUUGCUCACAUUUGCCUCUCCUGCGAGCAUGCACCAGGAACCACCUGGGUGAAGGGCCGAGGGGUUUGGUUGGCCGUUUGCACGUGCUGUUACCCUACGGUGCACGCAGCUGUCGUAGUUGUGUGCUGUGGCUGGGUACAACACUGUGCACGCAUUAGGGGGCCAGGUCUAAGCUUCCGUCCUUUGGAAAAGACUUUCUUCAUGGCAGCAAAAGGCAGUAUUUGCAUAUUGACUCUCCCAUCGCUGUUGUAGCUGGUGGGGAGCCCAACCACAACAGCAUAAGAAUGGGGAAGUGAAAGUGAACAGGUACGCAGCAGAACGCAAAACCAUUCUGUUCAGCUUCACUGCCCCAGGGGACUGAAAUGAAGAGAAAACAAACAGCAUCGAUGGACAAUUGAGGGAGAUUUUAGGAGGAUUUCUGCUUCAAUAAUCUCCGUUGUUAAGAUCAUGGGGGAUGUUAUUGUGAAAUACAGUGGACGAGUGCUAUGCUGACAGCUUGCCUGGGUGAAGGCAUUCUUUCUGACCCCUGCUCUUUUGCCAUGAGAGUGCCCCCGUCUCUGCUCAGUGUCAGUCUCACUUCGGGAACAAUGUGAAUGCGCAGGGAAGCGCGUUGACUUACUC